rnacentral:lncRNA from 1 species
UUCGUGCACACACCUUUAUUUAUAUUUAUUCUUUGAUGUGAUUCACAUCGAAAGUAUAUCUUAUUAACUCAUUCAUCACUCAAACUGACAUGCAUAUCAACACUUGUAUGUGAUUUUAGCUUCGUUUUGUUCACAGAUAAUGAGACACAAAUCACUCAAACUUACUUGCAUGGCAACACUUGUAUGUGAUUCCAUAUACUUUGCUUUAAAUGAUGAAUUUCAUCUCACUACAAGAAACAUUGAAGUUAGCUAGGAAUUAUACCGAGGAAUUAAGUUUCCUAGCUAGCGACAUUGCAUACCGAGGAAAAUUUCCUAGGUAAGCUUCUUUGACCGUUUGACCACUUUAAAGCUGUCAGCAUGUGUGUUAGCGAGGAAAUAGAGGUGUUACCGAGGAAAUAUUUCCUAGGUAAACACAUGGUACAAAAUGCAGCAGCUUUUUACUGUUAAAGGUAACAUGGCAGCUGUAUUUUUACGUUGGAGACUGAAAAAGCCUGAUAGAUGCAAUUGAUAUUAGCAGGUGAACGUUGAAAUGCACUGUUGGGUUAUUUAAUUGGCUUCAUGUGAAUAUAUAUGUCUUUGAACACUUCUCUAUUACAUUUUCCAUUCCAUAUUUUUGACACUUCUCACUACAAUUUUAUUUUCCAUCUCUAGUAUUCAACAAUUGCUCUUGCAUGUGUUUUUUCUUCAUAUAAGGUAACUAUUUUCUUAAUUGAUUUCAACUUUUAUAUUUAUAAAUAAAAUGUUAAUGUAAUAUAUGUUAUAUUAUUUUUUGCAGUUAAUAUUUAAU